rnacentral:rRNA from 1 species
UGGGGAAUUUUGGACAAUGGGCGCAAGCCUGAUCCAGCAAUGCCGCGUGCAGGAUGAAGGCCUUCGGGUUGUAAACUGCUUUUGUACGGAGCGAAAAGGUCUGCCCUAAUACGGUGGGCUCAUGACGGUACCGUAAGAAUAAGCACCGGCUAACUACGUGCCAGCAGCCGCGGUAAUACGUAGGGUGCGAGCGUUAAUCGGAAUUACUGGGCGUAAAGCGUGCGCAGGCGGUUAUAUAAGACAGAGGUGAAAUCCCCGGGCUCAACCUGGGGACUGCCUUUGUGACUGCAUAGCUAGAGUACGGUAGAGGGGGAUGGAAUUCCGCGUGUAGCAGUGAAAUGCGUAGAUAUGCGGAGGAACACCGAUGGCGAAGGCAAUCCCCUGGACCUGUACUGACGCUCAUGCACGAAAGCGUGGGGAGCAAACA